UACGGAGGGUGCAAGCGUUGUCCGGAAUCACUGGGCGUAAAGGGCGCGUAGGCGGCUCAUGAAGGCUGUGGUGAAAGUCCGGGGCUCAACCUCGGAUCGGCCGUGGCGACUCGUGGGCUGGAGCACUGUAGAGGCGGGUGGAAUUCCGGGUGUAGCGGUGGAAUGCGUAGAUAUCGGUAGGAACACCAGUGACGAAGGCGGUCUCCUGGAGCAGACUUGACGCUGAGGCGCGAAAGCUGGGGGAGCGAACGGG
rnacentral:rRNA from 1 species